rnacentral:snRNA from 1 species
ACUGGUCUUCGGUCAAGAGUAUAAGAGUAGCUCCCUGCUAGAAUCUUCAAACAAGAUCUCAAGAUCCAUUGUAGGAAUGUAGGGUAGUAAAGCUUAUGAACUACAUGAAGAACUGUGUACCUUGGUGUGGACCGGGUAAUCCAC